GAUCCUGGCUCAGGAUGAACGCUGGCGGCGUGCUUAACACAUGCAAGUCGAGCGAAGCACUCUGCUUUGAAUCUUUCGGGAUGAAGAGUAUUGUGACUGAGCGGGCGGACGGGUGAGUAACGCGUGGGUAGCCUGCCUCAUACAGGGGGAUAACAGUUAGAAAUGGCUGCUAAUACCGCAUAAGCGCACAGUGCCGCAUGGCACAGUGUGAAAAACUCCGGUGG
rnacentral:rRNA from 1 species